rnacentral:rRNA from 1 species
CCAGACUCCUACGGGAGGCAGCCGUGGGGACUCUUGGGCAAUGGCGGCCCCUCUUACCCAGCAAUGCCGCGUGCCUGACGAAGGUCUUCGGAUUGUAAAGUUCUUUCAUUGGGGACGACAAAAAUGACGGUACCCAAGGAAUAAGCCCCGGCUAACUACGUGCCAGCAGCCGCGGUAAUACGUAGGGGGCAAGCGUUGUUCGGAAUGACUGGGCGGAACGGGUGUGUAGGCGGUGUAGCAAGUUAGAAGUGAAAGACCUAGAGCGGAACGCAGGGUCGGCGGCGAAAACGGCGAGACUGGAGGGCAGUAGAGGAAAGGGGAAGGCCUAGGGGAGCGGUGGAAGGCGGAGAUAUGAGGAGGAACAUCAGGGGCGAAGGCGACGUUCGGGACGGUAACUGACGCUGAGGCACGAAAGGGGGGGGAGCAAACAGGAGUAGAGACCCGGGUA